ensembl:snRNA U6 U6 spliceosomal RNA
GUGCUCGCUUAGGCAGCACAUAUGCUAAAUACAGAGAAAAUUAACGUUGCCCCCGUGCAAGGAUGACACACAAGUUUGUGAAGGGGUCCGUGUUUUU